UUUCUGCUAAUUUUUGCAAUUGUUUAGUGAAUUUGUAUUUAAUUUUGCAUCUGUUUUAAUUUUGAACUAAUUUGUUUGUCAGUUGUGUAUUUUCAGGGGUUCAGAGGAGGACAGAAGAGGAGCUUGGCUGGCCUACAGAAGAAGAGGAUUCCAUUGCCCAGCUAUGAGUAGAAAGCAACAUUGGUCAGAUAGGGAGAUGCCUGGAUCCCAAUGUUAGGAACAACUUGCUUGUUUUUCAGGAGAGGGGUGGGGAGGAGGGUGGGGAAUUGACUGUGGACAAGCAGAGAAGAAAAGAAGGCAGCGAGAAUGAUCUGCAGCUCCAGGUGUGGAUGAGAGCUGCCUUCCAUUACACUGCAAGCAUCGCUGGAAGAUGCGGAUGCAGAAGAAAAGGAGCCAUCCCAAGGUGCAGAAGAGGACCCAGUUCACCAGCCGGAGAGCCUGAUAGCUAAGCUUUUUGAUUUAUCCCUCUGUCUCUCUUUCUGUCCCCUCCUUACUCUAACAGACUAACCAUCUCCAUUCCCAACCUCUACUCUCUCCUGUGUUAUGCCCCUUUCUCAAAGUAUGUGUCUCCUUUUGCUAUCUUUUUUCUCGAGUAAUUUGUCUUUUUUUUUUUUGGCUGAGG